UGUUCGGUAGGUAAGGCUACUGCAGGGAUAUGGGCUGUUGCCGCAAAACAGUGGAGACACUGUGCGCUGGUUUGAACAGGAUACGUCGAACGCAAGGCGUAUCAUAACACAGCUUCACCGCCCUGCGAAGUCAAAGCUCACACGGAUGC
rnacentral:sRNA from 1 species